rnacentral:rRNA from 1 species
CAGGUUGACCUCGGAUCAGGUAGGGAUACCCGCUGAACUUAAGCAUA